UCAUGUGUAACAUUGUCUGUAAACAGUAAUAGGUUCAUCCAACCCGAGCCUAACUGCUAUCAUCUUCUAUGCCUUUCACAGGUGUCACCCAAAUCUUCUCCAUAUCGUCCUUGGCCUUUUUGCACAGAGUCCUUUGUGGCUUAGUCCCAACAGUUCCAUUCUACCUGUGACUGGUCAAAUGUCCACCUGUUUGGUCUACCCUCUCAGUUUUUUGGGCCAUCAUAGCCUUUUCUCCUCUGGUCUUCUGGUGUGAGAUCUUUGUG
rnacentral:lncRNA from 1 species